UUUCCUACGGGAGGCAGCAGUGGGGAAUAUUGCACAAUGGGGGGAACCCUGAUGCAGCGACGCCGCGUGAGUGAAGAAGUAUUUCGGUAUGUAAAGCUCUAUCAGCAGGGAAGAAAAUGACGGUACCUGACUAAGAAGCCCCGGCUAACUACGUGCCAGCAGCCGCGGUAAUACGUAGGGGGCAAGCGUUAUCCGGAUUUACUGGGUGUAAAGGGAGCGUAGACGGCAGAGCAAGUCUGAAGUGAAAGCCCGGGGCUCAACCGCGGGACUGCAUUGGAAACUGCGGGACUGGAGUGUCGGAGGGG
rnacentral:rRNA from 1 species